rnacentral:rRNA from 1 species
AGUGAACGCUGGCGGUAGGCCUAACACAUGCAAGUCGAACGGCAGCACAGGAGAGCUUGCUCUCUAGGUGGCGAGUGGCGGACGGGUGAGGAAUACAUCGGAAUCUGCCCAGUCGUGGGGGAUAACGUAGGGAAACUUACGCUAAUACCGCAUACGACCUUCGGGUGAAAGAGGGGGAUCGCAAGACCUCUCGCGAUUGGAUGAGCCGAUGUCGGAUUAGCUAGUUAGCGGGGUAAUGGCCCACCAAGGCGACGAUCCGUAGCUGGUCUGAGAGGAUGAUCAGCCACACUGGAACUGAGACACGGUCCAGACUCCUACGGGAGGCAGCAGUGGGGAAUAUUGGACAAUGGGCGCAAGCCUGAUCCAGCCAUACCGCGUGGGUGAGGAAGGCCUUCGGGUUGUAAAGCCCUUUUGUUGGGAAAGAAAUCUUUCAGGCUAAUACCCUGGGAGGAUGACGGUACCCAAAGAAUAAGCACCGGCUAACUUCGUG